UACGUAGGGUGCAAGCGUUGUCCCGGAAUUAUUGGGCGUAAAGAGCUCGUAGGCGGUUUGUUGCGUCGGCUGUGAAUCCCGAGGCCUCAACCUCGGGUCUGCAGUCGAUACGAGCAAACUAGAGUGUUGCAGGGGAGACUGGAAUUCCUGGUGUAGCGGUGAAAUGCGCAGAUAUCAGGAGGAACACCGGUGGCGAAGGCGGGUCUCUGGGCCGUAACUGACGCUGGAGGAGCGAAAGCGUGGGGAGCGAACAGGAUAGAA
rnacentral:rRNA from 1 species